UACGUAGGUGGCAAGCGUUGUCCGGUAUUAUUGGGCGUAAAGCGCGCGCAGGCGGUCCUUUAAGUCUGAUGUGAAAGCCCACGGCUCAACCGUGGAGGGUCAUUGGAAACUGGGGGACUUGAGUGCAGAAGAGGAAAGCGGAAUUCCACGUGUAGCGGUGAAAUGCGUAGAGAUGUGGAGGAACACCAGUGGCGAAGGCGGCUUUCUGGUCUGUAACUGACGCUGAGGCGCGAAAGCGUGGGGAGCAAACAGG
rnacentral:rRNA from 1 species